UAUGUACAUUUUUAUUUUUUUCAUUUAAUUUUUUUAAAACAAUGCACUUACCCAUCUGCUGUAGUGUGUUUCUGGUAUUUAUGGAUUUUUUUUUAUGGCACUAUUUGUAUAGUCUUACUUUAAUUGGUUCUACUUGUAUUUCCAUUUGCAAGUCGCUUUCAUAAAAGCAUCUGAUAAAUGAAUGAAUGUAAACUUAGAAUAUUCAUAAUAUUUGACAACUAUAGCACUAGCAUGCCUGAAAACAGUUCAGUCUUUGAGUUACCUUCAUUGUACAGAUGGAGGACAGAAUUUAUUUAAAUGUUGGCCUAUAUUGUAUAUUUUGAAAAACAAAAUCACUGCUUUGCAUUUUAAUUAGUCGUUUGACUGAAAACUUCAAAGUUACUGACAAAUAACCCUUGUGACAACUAACCUCGGUCUUUCAAAUAUAGUGGUCAAGAGGGGAAAACUUUUUAAAGUGAAGUUUCAUUAUCACGGAAAUAGAUAGGCUACUAUAACUUCACCACUAGGUGGCUAUAAACUUGCAGAUCCCGUUUUACCUGUAUUUCCAGACAAAGUAUGUACAAUACAAUUAUACAAUACAAUAAGUAUAUAAGCAUGUAACAUAUCUAUUGAAAUACAAUAAUAACGCUAUUGUUAAAAACAAAACUAUAAACUGUGUAUAUAAAAAACGAAACAAAUAUAAAACAUAAAAAUCGCAGGUGCAGACAAAUCCUCCUCAGCUGCCCCGAGGUCGUCUCCAUGGGAACCAAUAUGAAAAACACAAACUCAAACACAAAGGAAGAGUUAUUGCGUGAGCCGAUGUGUAAUUGGAAAACUGUUGAAACGGCUUGUGGUCAGAAAGGAAAAUAAAAGUUCUUGUUUUAAUUUAAGCACAUUUUGAAGGCUGAAACAGCUGCGAGAAAAUUUAUCUGGGAUGUCGGCCACAAUUAACCCGCUAGCAAAUCCUAAAGGAGUAAAGAAGCUGUGCGAACUUUGCCAGAAACCUGCAAAACUUCAGUGCACAAAAUGCCUGGUCACAUUUUACUGUAACUCUGACCACCAGCAAACUGACUGGACCAGUAUUCAUGGGAAAGUCUGUCCGUUGCUGGUAUCUAUCCACACACCUGCACCAUUCAGCACACUGCAGUCUGGCCGAGAGCACCACCACAAAGAAACACUGAAGAAACAGAAACAUCUAGUAGAGAUUGCUCAUUUGGAGUCGCAGAGGUGGGUGUCCAAGAAGAGGUUCCAGGAUGUGUUACCGGCCGCUCUCCUAUUCUUGCGCUGGGCCAUGCGGGUGUACGGAUCCUGUGCUGUUGAACUGGUACCAGCUUAUCUACUGCUCGCACAGGCUAAUAUAGGUUUAGGUUCUCUCUCCCAGGCACAUGAGUAUCUGUCUAAGGCUGAGUGGACAGUAAUGAAAACACCAGGCUGCAGUCACACUGUCCUUCAUCAGCUACACAGAACCCUGGGUCGCCUGCACGCUGCCAUGGGAAAAUACACAUCUGCUCUUACUCACUUUGCCAAUGACGUGUAUUAUGCCAGUGAAAUGUUUGGUUUGGGCAGUACUGUGACAUCUGGAGGAUAUUUUCUUAUGGCUGAUGUGUUUCUGAAGCAAAACAAGCCUGACAUUGCCCAUUCGCUCUACACAGAGGUGGCAAAUUCAUGGCACACUCACCUGUGUAAGCUGAUGGAUGGUAUCGGGCAGAGCGGCACUCAACCAGAGAAGUGUUUUGAUGAGGCCCAGUGUGUGGAGGCUGAUCAGAUGUUGAGAUGUAUCUUGGAGUUUGAGGAACAGUGUGUGAAGCCUCGCCCUGACCAGUCAGCCAUGUUGGCACAUUCUCUGGCUAUGCUGUGGUUACUAUGCAACAACUACACCAAGGCAUUGGAGUAUGGGAAGAAGGCGGAGUUGUUGAUCCAGGGGUUAAGUGAGCAAAACAGACUGAGAGAGUCAAUCCAUAAUCUACUACAACAUGCUGAAAAACAGUUGGAAUGAGACUGGCCACUAAACUACACACCGCAAACAAAUCAAAAUGGACAACAAUAUACAGCACAACAACAGUCAAACUGUCUUCACACUGUACAGUGUUCAUAUUCAUUCAUUAAAUCCAUCGAUAUUGGGAGAUAUUGAUGUAUAAUUAAGGUGCAGUCACAUUAGCGAAAUUUCGUGGGCAAAAAAGGUUCAUUGUCUAGUUCAAUAGUGAUGUAUGAAGCACGGCUCGCACUCAUUUUUUUUUUUUGUUUACUUUUAAACCAAGCAGCUUUCUGUUGGUUAACGCAGUGAAUUUGUGAACUCGAACCGGUCGCGUAAUCUGCGUGAGGAAAUAUUUCACCCUCAUGUAAAAUUCCCAAGCGCAUGGAUUCCUAUUGAAAUGACUGGAUUUUACCCAUGAAAAUUCGCUAAACAACAGUAUAUGUGACCACACCUUUAGUGAGGCAGACUACAGCAAAAAUCUUGCAAAAGAUCAGUGGAAAAGGCCUGUCAACUGUGAUGUGAGAUAAAUAGACAAGCUGACACGGUUUCAUGUUCUGGACAUUUUUAAAAUGUCUUUAUUGGUAUUAUUGGUAUUAUUACGUAAUGACACAUAACAUCAAUGUUGGCGUUCUAUCACUAGUAAUUUCUUGUUUUAAGUUAUACAACAUUGCUUGGUUUUUGGCAUUUAGGUUCCCACUAAAAAAAUAAAUUAAAAAACCCAAUGAAAUGAACACAUGGAGUCUCAAAACAUUUCCCUUUUCCAUACCAGAGAGCCAAGUGUUCAUUAGCAGCAACUGUUGCUUUUUAUUUUUUGUUAUGUGAUGCUAAGUUAAUUGCCAACUCACAAGUCAGAAGGGUAUAGCGGUACCUUAUCAAUCAGAUUGAGCACUACUUCAUAUAGACCACUGUUUUCCACUGUGUAAGAUCUGAUGAUGCUAUUUUAGCUCUCAGUUCAGAUGCCUGUUUUUGAACUGCUGUCAUGGAAGUUUGACCCCUCCAUUCUGAAUUUGCAUUUUAUUAAGUUUUGGAGUCACACAGGUUUGAUACUUAACAUAAGGGCAGAAGAAACUUCCUGUUGUAUCCUAUGAAGUGGAGGCAGAGCUUGUAAGUUCGACAACCAUAUAGUGCGUUAUCGCGAAAACACGGAAAAGUGUCAGAGUUUACAGGGACACUUGUUCUUGCGUGGGAAGAGGUGGAAGGUGCAGGUCUCUGGUUGCAUGGAAUGAUGGAACACAUCACACACACAAGACGGCAAAUCACAACGCUUGAGAGGGGGUGGUGAGAAGAGUGUGGUCAACGGCUGUUCAGUCAAACUCACACUAAAACCCUUCGUCACUCCAAGCAAGAUUAAAUCGCAUAUAAACCAGUUUUU